rnacentral:rRNA from 1 species
GAUGAACGCUGGCGGCGUGCCUAAUACAUGCAAGUCGAGCGAACAGAUGAGGAGCUUGCUCCUCUGACGUUAGCGGCGGACGGGUGAGUAACACGUGGAUAACCUACCUAUAAGACUGGGAUAACUUCGGGAAACCGGCGCUAAUACCGGAUAAUAUAUUGAACCGCAUGGUUCAAUAGUGAAAGACGGUUUUGCUGUCACUUAUAGAUGGAUCCGCGCCGCAUUAGCUAGUUGGUAAGGUAACGGCUUACCAAGGCAACGAUGCGUAGCCGACCUGAGAGGGUGAUAGGCCACACUGGAACUGAGACACGGUCCAGACUACUAAGGGAGGCAGCAGUAGGGAAUCUGACGCAAUGGGCGAAAGCCUGACGGAGCAACGCCGCGUGAGUGAUGAAGGUCUUCGGAUCGUAAAACUCUGUUAUUAGGGAAGAACAAAUGUGGAAGUAACUAUGCACGUCUUGACGGUACCUAAUCAGAAAGCCACGGCUAACUACGUG